CGGGUGAGGCUGGUAGCACGGGAACGGCGGGGAUGGGGUCGGCUUGGGGCCCGGAGCAGUUGCAGCGCCGCCAGACCCCCUUGCAGCUCGCUGGGCCACCGCCGCCGGUCACCAAGGCCCCGAUCUGGAUCGAUCCGGUCGCCAUCGGUCAGGACCCCGUCGCCCUCGCCCGGCGAGAAUGACGCCAAGGCGAUGUUGCCAUAUUGCCAGGGCCUCGAGGUUGGUUUUCAUCUCAUCGUUGCUAUAGGAGACUAUGAAAAAUUUCAGUUGAUGU